rnacentral:lncRNA from 1 species
CCAUGAUUGGGUGUUGAAACUUCUCUUCAAAAACCACACAAGGUCGGGAUAUAGGGAAGGAAAUAUGAUAUUUUUGAAGAAAUCCCGACCUCGGUUCUGUUUUAAUUUGCUGGACAGACCUUCUUCGGGUUUGCAAAGGAUUUGUCAUGUUCGCGAAGCUUGUGACCAGAAAGGCCUACGCGUUUGCGAUGAGCUACUCGUGUUUGCAAUGGUCUGUCCCCCUCUGACCAUCGUGUUCGCGGGCCUGGGACCGCGUUCACAAAGAACAACUCAAUGACUCUCCCAGCCACCUCCAUUACACUACGCGUUCACGUGUAGCCAGUUGUAUUCGCGAAAAUCAAUUCCCGCUAGUGCUCCACGUUCACGACCAAGGCCUCACGUUCGCGUAGAAGAAAUCCCUCCCCAACCCAGCAUGUACUUCGCGUUCGCGUGAGCUGCAUCGCAAACGCAAAGAACAAAAUCUCAAAACAAUAGAAGUAGCAAAAACAAUAGAAGUUCUUAAGUCCAAAC